rfam:Spinacia oleracea cultivar SynViroflay scaffold10315.con0010.1, whole genome shotgun sequence.
AGCAUACUAGCUCAAUUGGUAGAGCAUUGUGCAAAUGCACAAAAGAUGUGGGGUUCGAAUCCCACGUAGGUUC